AAAGCUGAUAAAGUGCAGCAUCAGAGCAGCGGAAGCAAAAAGUGGAAGGAGGUUUGGAAGAGAGGCCAUGGUGUUCAAAAUGAUCAGCUGAAUGAUAGAGAUGGAAACUUAAUCAUCAAUAACUUUACAGCCAGUAAUUCAGGAACAUACAAAGUUUUGGGCUCUGAAGGAGAAACCUUGAUCACAGUGACUGUUGAAGGAUCUCGUUCAGGUGGUAAACUCAAGAGUGAUGCUGAACAACACAAGCACUGGAUUGGACCGGCUGGGCUGCCUGGGUUCGUUUGGGUGGUUCUUUGCCUUUUUUAAAAGAAGAAAGAUACACCGAUGUCUGGAUGGAGGUCUGAGAAGGUUCUACAUUUGAUGAAGAACCAUCUUCAUGAAUAUUAAAAAUUAUGUUCUAGAAUAUUAAUGCAAUCCAGAUGUGCUACAUCUGCCAUAUUGUCAUGUGACUUAUUUCCGAAAGUAGUAGGACAUCCAGGUACUUUCUGACAGCUGUUUUAUAAGUAUUACAAGGUUUUAUUGCCAUCUGAAUCCAUAAUGUCAGUGUGUUUCUCCCACCGCCCGCAUAUUUCCCUGACUGAAUUACCUACUGUUUUUUUUUUAACAAACAAAAAGGUGAUGUGGUAAUUUCACUGCUGCCAAAUCCACAUCCGAGUUUACAAGAUGGGAUCAAUUUUAAAUUCACUUUGGCAGCACCAUAUGAUAACUGUUGUGCUUCACUGUAAUUUGCAUUAAAGAUAUACACUUUUAUUACUGAAAGAUAUAUAACAUAUUAUUGCACCAAAGGACAUGUAAUGCAAUUUUUAAUGUUUGUAUGUAUGUAUGUAUGUAUGUAUGUAUGUAUGUAUUUAUUUAUUUAUUUAUUUAUUUAUUUAUGUAUGUCUUUUAAUGUUAGUUUAAGUCCCUCAGUUGUCCACCAGAGGUCUCACUCCACAGAGUAUUGACUAUUGGACUAUAGUUCCCAGGAAGCCUCAUACCUGGACUAAUUUCCGCUCACCUGAUCCUUGCACUCAGAUUAUUUAAAAACUGUGUUUUGCUCUC